rnacentral:ribozyme from 1 species
CAGCCACUGCUUACGCUCUGGCUGACCUUAAUGCGGCUUCCGGUAACGGAAACGGUUGCAAGCCCGAUAACGCAGAGCAAGGA